rnacentral:rRNA from 1 species
UAGAGUUUGAUCCUGGCUCAGGAUGAACGCUGGCGGCGUGCCUAACACAUGCAAGUCGAGCGGAGUUAGACCUUCGGGUAUAGCUUAGCGGCGGACGGGUGAGGAACACGUAGAUAACCUGCCUUUAACAUUGGAAUAACGUUCAGAAAUGGACGCUAAUGCCGAAUAAGCUCACGGGACAGCAUUGUUCUGCGAGAAAAGAUUUAUCGGUUAAAGAGGGGUCUGCGGCUGAUUAGCUAGUUGGCGGGGUAACGGCCCACCAAGGCGACGAUCAGUAGCCGGGAUGAGAGUCUGGACGGCCACAUUGGGACUGAGACACGGCCCAAACUCCUACGGGAGGCAGCAGUGGGGAAUAUUGCACAAUGGGCGAAAGCCUGAUGCAGCAACGCCGCGUGAAGGAUGACGGUCUUCGGAUUGUAAACUUCUAUCGACAGGGAAGAAAACAAUGACGGUACCUGAAUAAGAAGCACCGGCUAACUACGUGCCAGCAGCCGCGGUAAUACGUAGGGUGCAAGCGU